rnacentral:rRNA from 1 species
GUGGGGAAUAUUGGACAAUGGGCGCAAGCCUGAUCCAGCAAUGCCGCGUGUGUGAAGAAGGCCUGCGGGUUGUAAAGCACUUUGAGCGGGAAAGAAGGGCGGGGUGCUAACACCACCCUGCAUUGACGUUACCCGCAGAACAAGCACCGGCUAACUCCGUGCCAGCAGCCGCGGUAAUACGGAGGGUGCGAGCGUUAAUCGGAAUUACUGGGCGUAAAGCGUGCGUAGGCGGCCCGGUCAGUCUCGCGUGAAAGCCCCGGGCUCAACCUGGGAACUGCGCGGGAUACUGCCGGGCUGGAGUGCGGGAGAGGGCGGUGGAAUUUCCGGUGUAGCAGUGAAAUGCGUAGAGAUCGGAAGGAACACCAGUGGCGAAGGCGGCCGCCUGGACCGACACUGACGCUGAGGCACGAAAGCGUGGGGAGCAAACAGGAUUAGAAACCCUUGUAGUCC